CUCUGGGAGGGAUGGGCGAUGCUGAACAUGAGGCUCCCUCCUGCCUGGGAGGGCUGCACAAAGCUCACACAGCUGUACCCUGCCUUUGCCACUGUGGACUUUCCCAGUGGACACAGGCCUCCAAGGAGCUUUGUGGGAAGGGCAGGACAGGGAAAAGAAAUGCAUCUCCUCAGCAGGUCUGGGAAGGGAACGGCACACAGUGAAGAGGGAGAGACCUUGCCAGUGCUACUGGGAGAGAUGGUGAGCAAAGGCAGCGGAUGGCAGCUAUCCCAGAGCAGUGGUCCAGGGGUUUCGGAGCAGCUUGCCGUGGUGCUGGCAAGACCAGAGCUGUGCCCAGACACCAUGAGAAGCUGCCUCGUGCCCCCAGGAAAGCAAGUGAUUCCUGCACUGCGUCUGAGCUUUGGCUGCUCGCUGUGCAUGGGAAGGGGCCGGGGGAUGCAUGCCUUCAUGGAGGACACCAGCUCCCACUGAGCAAAGGCGAGUCCAUUUUCUCUGUCUUGCAGAGAGAGACUUGAAGCCUCAGAAAUCUGUUGCUGGCAUGAGAUCUGCACUGCCCACCUCCUGAUGGGACCCCCUGGAUGGACCCCGGACCUGAUUCAUAGCUUGCUGGAGCUGUUGAUGAAGCCCAUUACCAGCCCUUGGCUCUGUCCACUGUCCUCAGACCCCAUGGGACUGUGUCCUGUUGAUGAUGAUGCCGCUCCUGGCCUUUGCUGCUGCCAGACACUUGCUGUGAAAAGGCUGUACUUUGUUUGAGUGCGCCUUCCUGGGGUGGGGGGUACCAGGAUAGAUCCUGAUGAGGGAGGAUGAAGCCCUGCUGCUCUUCACAGAGCUGAAGAUCUCCCCAACUUUCACACUUUGACGGAUUUGCUUCACAUUUGCUAAUAGGUUUCAAGAGUUACUUGGGGAACUGAGAGAAGACCGGCUGGCACAG